rnacentral:rRNA from 1 species
UACGUAGGUGGCAAGCGUUGUCCGGAAUUAUUGGGCGUAAAGCGCGCGCAGGCGGUCCUUUAAGUCUGAUGUGAAAGCCCACGGCUCAACCGUGGAGGGUCAUUGGAAACUGGGGGACUUGAGUGCAGGAGAGAAGAGUGGAAUUCCACGUGUAGCGGUGAAAUGCGUAGAUAUCGGGAGGAACACCAGUGGCGAAGGCGGCUAUCUGGGCUGCAACUGACGCUGAGACGCGAAAGCGUGGGUAGCAAACAGG